GACGAACGCUGGCGGCGUGCUUAACACAUGCAAGUCGAACGGAAAGGCCCUGCUUUUGUGGGGUGCUCGAGUGGCGAACGGGUGAGUAACACGUGAGUAACCUGCCCUUGACUUUGGGAUAACUUCUGGAAACUGGGGCUAAUACCGGAUAGGAGCUCCUGCUGCAUGGUGGGGGUUGGAAAGUUUCGGCGGUUUGGGAUGGACUCGCGGCUUAUCAGCCUGUUGGUGGGGUAGUGGCUUACCAAGGCUUUGACGGGUAGCCGGCCUGAGAGGGUGACCGGCCACAUUGGAACUGAGAUACGGCCCAGACUCCUACGGGAGGCAACAGUGGGGAAUGUUGCACAAUGGGCGGAAGCCUGAUGCAGCAACGCCGCGUGCGGGAUGACAGCCUUCGGGUUGUAAACCACUUUCGCCUGUGACGAAGCGUGAGUGACGGUAAUGGGUAAAGAAGCACCGGCUAACUACGUG
rnacentral:rRNA from 1 species